rnacentral:misc_RNA from 1 species
UGGAUGGCACCAGAAGUUCUCCGUAAUGAACCUUCAAAUGAGAAGUGAGUUGCUGAUGUUAUGUUUUUGCAUUUUUCAAAUUCACUUGUUAUUUUGCUCUUGCAUAAGCUUCGUGCAAAGUUAAAAUUCCUCUGUACUUGAAUGCUCUUUUCGGCUGAUUAGAAUGCAGUAAAAUAAAUAACUUCCCAUUCUACCUGGCAAGCAGCCAGAUGGAUCCACUUUUAGUUGUUUAUCAUCCUAUAGAAGCCAUUGCAGAUAAUUAAAUCAUUUGGAAUCCAUUUUGAAACGGCAGUAGUCCUUUAGCUCUACAAUUGAGUGCUACAGUGCCUCAAAAGAGGGUAUUUUUGAGGCUUAUUCCUCAGAAGCUUAUAGAAGGGGUUUUCUAUAAUGAAAAUAGCUUUGGAAUGACUCAUGAAUUGAGAAGCAAUGUACAGUUCUAUUAGCCAUUGCCUUUGCAAUGAACAUAUAUGUCGGUUAUUGCCUGCUGGAAACUUAAGUCGAUUUCAUGGGUAGGACCAAUAUACUAAAUAAGUUGUGCUUGUGCUGGAUGAGCAGGUGUGAUGUAUAUAGUUU